rnacentral:lncRNA from 1 species
UUCCUUGAUUAUCUCCAUCUCAACCUCAUCAAAUUGAAUCAAAAGUGAAUUGUCCGGUAAAUCCUGUUGAUCGAGUCUAUGUUGAAUACUAAAAUCUCGGCAAAUAUCCAUGUAUUUUGGUUGCCUUCCCUUAUACCUUGCGUAGCUUUUCUCCAUCGUAUAAUCUCUCUAUCUCUCCACAAUAUUUCCCAUCCUGUUCUUAUUUUUUGCACUGAAUUUCAUUUUUUCAAGUAAACACCUCCUAUUUACAGGUUUCUCUCGAUCCAGAAGAAACUUUCUCCAUUUCUCUAACCGUGUAUGUAUGUGAUUACAGGUCCUGAAAGCAAAAACUUUUUUUACUGAUGUUUGUAUUUGGUUUGUUUGGUCACAUGUAUGAUAAAGGUAUCUCUCUCUUUCACUCAUGUUAUGUUUUUUUUUUUCUCUCAAUCAUACAAAAAAUUUGUGCUUUUUGUUGGUUAAAAACUAUAAUCCCUUUAUAUUUCGAACUUGAUUGUGAUUUAAACUGUCUUUUUCUUCUUUGAUUCUUGACUUUGGAAUGUAAUUAUCCUUGACUAGAGGCAAGAAAUUGGUACAAUGGAUCGAGGCCAAGCAUUGAUAAGUAGAAGACGAAACUGUUAAUCUGUUAAGCAAUAAAGAAAAGUAAUUGAUGUUGUAGAUAUGGUGUUGUUUGGGGUUCGUGUUGAAGGUUUUGUUCGAUUUUCAGUCUCAAUUCCUCAUUUUCAUAGUCAUCUAUACUGAUAUGAAUCCUAAAUUGUUUUUACAGGAAAGCGAAAACAAAAGGAGGGUUGUACGGUGUUUGAAACUAUAAUUUUCUCCCCUUAUCUAUUUGUCUUUUCCGAUUUAAGUUUUCUUAUUAUUUCUGGUCUUCGGUAUUUUGCUAUUGUGUUUUCCGAUUUAGCUUUAAUUAUUUUUGUUUUUAUGUUUUUUACUUGCAAAUUUAGAUACUUAUGACAAUACAAUUAUGCAGGUGUGAUUUACCAAGAACAUGGUCAAUUUAAUAAACUGUGUGAGGUGUUGCGCAAAUGGAAGUAUUGCUGGUAGGUUAGUUUAUAUCUUAUUGAUUUGCAAGUGUGAGUUAUAAUGAAGAACCAACAAACAAAUCCCAAUUCAGAUCUAAGGCUUUGAGCUUCUGAUGUUUAUUUUUAGUGUAGCCUAUAUUUAUUCUUUUCUAUGUUCAAGUACAUUUCUAUGCUCAAAGAGGUAAAAUUAAUCGAUUCUCACAUUAUUACCACCCAUUUUGUUUUGAAGAAAAAAAGUAACGUGUUUUGAGUUAAGUCUUUUGGGUAUGUUCCUUUAUACCCAUUAAUUGGCUGCUUUCAAGUGGUUAUCACACUGUGCAUUAAAAUAGUAUUAAAGUCAUAUUCUCAAUUACACAUGGAUUGAGGUUUAAUCGUUUCAUUUCAUUUUGUUAUGUAGGAACAAAAGCACAUUCAUAAUGAAGUUUCUUUUAGCUUUGGAUUUAAUAUGAUUAUUUGACCUACUCUACAUUUUUAUUAAAUGUAAUGCAAUGCCUUUUUUUAUAUUUAAGGAAGUGGCUUUUCUCUAAUCAUACAUAAUCCAAAGUUUACCCCAAGUUGUGUGAUUAAUCUUUUGGUUUAAAGCUUCAGGCUCAAUUGAAAUAAACCCCCUAUGUUUUAUCCUUAUGUAAUAAUCAAAUUUUGAUAAAGAUCUUCCAUGUUUGGUUGAAGAUUUUGACAAGAGAUUCAUUAUGUUCUGGUGGUUAGGAGGGCUAACUUCAAAUUUAUGGUUUUUGCUUUUAGCUCUUGCAACGCAAAACAAGCUCCAAGUCAAGAAGAUGAUUUUCUAAUAUGAAUUGUUUGAUACUUUGGAAUUUGGUUAGCAAGAAAUGAAAGGGAGUUUAAUAGAUAAACAUUAAAUUAUUUUAUUAUAUUUAUUUGUUUUUCAGAUAUUUUUUGUUCUCUUUGUCAUUUGAUGUUGUAUUUAGAACAAUAAGAUUAAUUGGUUGGUUUUCAUGUGGAGGAAGUUGUACAAGUGAAAAGAUUGCAGGUUGAUAAAAUACUUCGUUGGUUAAAGUAAGGUUAUAAUAAGUAUUGUUUUUUUAGUCUUUUUUAACAUUCAAAUUUAAAUGUUUGGUUCACAUUUGCACGAAAGUUAUAC